AGAUGCUUAGCAGAUCAACAAGAUGCUUACAGAUAUAGAACAGCAGGAGGGUGAGGUGUGGGUAUAACAUGGCAAAUGAUAGACCCGGUGAAGAAGGAAUGACAGUUGUGCAGAGGGUUAAGGGGUGUGGUUACAACGUGACAAUAAGAGAAAGACCCGGUAAAGAAGGAUUGAACGUUGUGUGGGCUUUCCAUGUAUGAAUACUACUGGCAGUGUUACAGUGUGCUGAUAUGUGCUUUGUAAACAGCAGGCCAAGUGGUCCAUUGGAAAAGGGCUGGAUAGAUUAUCAAACAAUGAGGGAAGCGAGGAAGAGCUCGGGAAGACGGUGUAAUGAUUAGCUGUCUUCAAGUAGAAGAU
rnacentral:lncRNA from 1 species